CUGCCACAAUGAUGGGGUUCGGUUUCGAUCGAACUAGGUGAUCCACACCAGUGCUUCGGACAGCGGUUCGAUUCCGCUCAGCUCCAUUUCCCCCUAUUGCAAGGGGCUGCAAUGGUUUCGACGGGGCAUCAGGCGGAUGACUGAAGCCUGCUCGGUGAGAGCAAAACCGUAACAGCGAACAACAUCGUUCGUUUCUCCCGUCAAGCCGCCCCCGUGGCCGCCUGACCCUUAGGGGAGAUGGGGUGAAGUUAGCCUUAUCAACCAAAUAACUCAUUGGGCCUGGAAGGGCCC
rfam:Synechococcus sp. Tous Synechococcus-sp-Tous-C7, whole genome shotgun sequence.